rnacentral:rRNA from 1 species
UAACACGUGGGUAACCUGCCCUGAUGAUCGGGACAACCCGAGGAAACUCGGGCUAAUACCGAAUGUGCCCUCCGGCCAUAAGGCCACUGGGGAAAGGAAGCUUCGGCCUCCGCAUUGGGAUGGGCCCGCGGCCCAUUAGCUUGUUGGUGAGGUAACGGCUCACCAAGGCAAUGAUGGGUAGCUGGUCUGAGAGGACGAUCAGCCACACUGGGAUUGAGAACGGCCCAG